GUAGGUGAACCUGCGGAAGGAUCAUUAACACGUAUCCAACGUUAAACAACCCUGUGAACCUUGAACGUGCUCUCGUACACGCUCUAGCAGCAAUCCCUGGUAAAUCAUUGUUGACCAGCUAUUGAGUCUGGGACUUCUGCUAGAAAACCAUACGAUACGAGCGCCAGAGUAAGUGCGGCCUGGCACUGGCAUCCUAGCAAUCUGUCAGUGGUUGCGCAAGGAUGGCGCAGUAAACGAUCGCUGUAGGCCCGGCGACCGGGCCUCUGUGCUUCAGCACCUAAUGACACCAGUUUUCUGACCCGGUGCGCUGUAACAACCGCACCACAAACUCGAACAACUGUUAACAAUGGAUAUCUUGGUUCUU
rnacentral:misc_RNA from 1 species